GCUUUUUGUAUGGUUUCGCCUAAGCAACAAGACACCAUUUUGAGCGGUGCAAGCAUCAUAACAUGUCUCGUAGCAACAACGCACGCACUUUCCAACAACCUCUGGCGUUCUUUAUCACGUCUCAAAGCGUCCUUUUUUCCAGUGUACAAACACAUCACUACAUCAUCAAGAUAUACACGCGACUGCAUCGUCCACUAAAAUACAAAAAAUUCUGGUCUACUGCAAGGUUUCAUCAUCAUAUCUAUAAGAAGGGACCGAUGACACUACUAGCUUCACCUAUUUGGAUCCCUUCCUUCUCUCCUUGGGUGUUCAUCCCUGGACGCAUGGACGUCCACAAGGUGAAGAUGCGUGGCUUGUGCUUGGUGUUGCUCAUGGCGGCUCUGUUGUUGCUUCCCGGAUCCGAAGGCAAAAUUUGCAAGGAGUAUAGCGAAACCUACACCGUUUCUGAAUGCACGAGCGGACCAUGUGCCGAGCACUGCCACGACGAGGGCUUCGUUGAAGGGGAGUGUAAAGCGAGUGAGUUUGAACUUGAUGAUUACCGAUUCUGUCUCUGCAAGAAACACUGUUGAUGAUGCUUCAGGAUGUCAAGCAAAAAGGUAAUAAGAUCCUGCGGCAGAGCUGUCUGUAACAUCCCAAAACAUUCCGAUUUUGGAAUGCUAAAUAAAUACAUGACUAAAUAUAAAUGUUUCCAUUCUA